rnacentral:rRNA from 1 species
GUGCCAGCCGCCGCGGUAAUACGGAGGAUCCAAGCGUUAUCCGGAAUCAUUGGGUUUAAAGGGUCCGUAGGUGGAUGAUUAAGUCAGGGGUGAAAGUCUGCGGCUCAACCGUAGAAUUGCCUUUGAUACUGGUCAUCUUGAAUCAUUGUGAAGUAGUUAGAAUAUGUAGUGUAGCGGUGAAAUGCAUAGAUAUUACAUAGAAUACCGAUUGCGAAGGCAGAUUACUAACAAUGCAUUGACACUGAUGGACGAAAGCGUGGGGAGCGAACAGGAUUAGAUACCCGAGUAGUCC